AUGUUCUACUCUUGGGAGCUUGGGAACUUUGGUUUUAGUUUGGACGCAUGAGAGGUUAUGUGACGAACUUGUAUCCAUCCUACAGUUCUUCAUUUCCCCCCACAUCUUUUCAUCUCCAGAUAGGAAGAUCUUCCCACCAAGGAGAAGUCAACGACAGUCUGUGCGAUUUCUCUUUUCCCUUGUGCUAGGCUAGCCAUGUUUUAUCACGUGAUUAAGCACAAGCCUCAGGACAGGGCCACGCCCCCUCAGCAUCUCUCUCCCCUGGGGACUCAAGGGUGGAAGGGGAGGGUAAGCACACAGGACACUUGGGAAGAGGGGAUGGGGAACGCCUGCUGACCCCGCCCUAGCAGGUGAUGCAAGCAGAUGACACAGCUGCUGGUGAAAUCGCCAGGUAAUCAAGAUGUUGCCUCCCCAGGUGACUGGCAGGGGCCCUUCACCCUGGCUGCUUGGGGUCACUUGGGGAGUUUCAAGAGCAACCGAAGCCAAACAACCUCCUGACCAAUUAAGUCGGAGCAUCUGGGAGGCAGUCACCAGCACCAACCAGUAUGUGUCACACCCCCUGAUCCCCCACAGUGAUUCUGUAUGCCGCUGGGAGGCCCAGCCAUCCAAGGAGACAAUGGAGUACUCUUCUCGCCAAAGUUUAAAGGAGAAUCAGCUGCCCUGUCUUUUCCUUUACCAGAGAUUUGCAAUAAAAAGAAUAAAAUGUCCAAAAAGUGUGGCC
rnacentral:lncRNA from 1 species